UCACGCAGCAUCCGGAGCAAUCCGGAGCAUCACCAGGUCCACCAGGUCUUUUCGUUCACGGCGUUCAUGUGAGCACAUGUGAGUAGCUCAUCCUUAUAUCAUGAUGGCAUCAAAAGCACAUAUGGACAACCAAGUCAAUCAAGGUCGUCUACGUCCAAUAAACGAUUGGGUGGACAAUGGUGGAUAAUGAAUAUACAGAAAAAAGUACUCCAAAAUGCUCCAAAAAGCAUAUAAAGUACUACAUUAACUCCAAAAAAAUCAAUGAGUAAAAUUGGUAAAAGCACAUGCAUCAAAUGUAGCUGCUUCAACUGACCAAGCACUGGCCUGGUGAUACUUGCAAACAAAAAGCCAAUACAUAGUAUCAAAACCAGAAAUUAAGCACAUGUUCCGUGAGCCAGAAAAACGACCACCAGUUUUGGUAUCAAAUCUUUUUACUGGUCUCUGUUUGGCACCAGUAUUGAUUCUGUUGGUUCUUUGGGUAAAACUUGAUGUCAAUGUAUCCAAAUUUCCAUUUUCAAUCAGCGCAAUUGUUUUCCAUCUUGGACUUGGCAGCAUUUUCGUACAAUUUGGAAUUUUCUAGUUACAACUCAACAUGUUUGUAACAUUGUCAAGUCCAACAAUUCUCGUCUCAGUGUUGGGUACCACUUGUUCAACUAAACCGAGGACUAUUUGUUCCUCUUUUUAUUAACGGUGAUGUUUUAAAAAUGCCAUAUCUAAAAAAUUUA